ACUCAGGAGUAUGUAUCUUGAACAACCAUCUUCAGUCAUUCAGCAAAUACUGAGCACUUACCACGGGUGCCUCUUCUUAGAACUGUCGGGAGACGUGUUGCUACAGUAUUUUCUCAGCCACUUUGCUGAAAACUCCAUCUUGUCCUGCUUUACUUUACCCCAUCUUCCUGCUUGAAAAGCAGUCGCAGUGCCGGUGAAUGACUUAAGCUUAAGAACAAAGACCUAAAGGCAUGCGUUAUCCGUAGGGUCAGCUGAAUGAGGACACAGUGCAUUGGUCUAGGCACGCCCAGACCUAUGCAGAUAGGCAUGCUGUUUGCACAGCAUGGUAUGUCCUCUAAGGAGCAAGAAGAAGACGAGCCUCAUGGCCCCAAGGGGUUUAUGUGGGGUCAGCAGCAGCAUAUGCAUUAGCAAGAACCCAGGGGCAGACCUAGGCACCCCGGGUUGCUGCAGAAGCACAAUGGUGAUUCUCUAGAAUGCUCCGCAUAGAGAGCGGAGGCCAAGCUUCCUCCAUGCAAAUGACUGUUAAAUGCCUAAAGGUCAGAAUAAAAGCUUAAUCAGCUACUGGGUAAGUGACUUUUAAAAUAAUAAAAAUCUAUAUCCUGCACCCAUAGCCCCCUCCUCACUUGCCCUCAUCCUCAAGAGCACAAUAAAAGCAGUGGGGUUUCUUGAGGGGGGCUCUUGGUCCCUGAGACCUUGGGUCCCCCGGUUCCCACCUUUACUCAAGAUCAAUGUCUCUGUGUCUUGGUUUGUGUUCACUUUUUCUUAAGUGUCACAGCACCUGUUCUUCAGCCCGCACCUGCUGAGCGGGUCUUGGCACAGAACGAAGGGAAACCUGCCCUUUUUUUGGCCUCAUCCAUGACAGGAGGAAGUUCCCGGGCCAGGGAUUGAACCGAUAACACAGCAGGGACAACCCUGGAUCCUUAACCGCCAGGCCACCAGAGAACUCCAGAACCGAGGAAAACAACCAAUUAUCCCCUAGGUGCAGAGAAGACAGGCCUCCUUGAGGGCCCCAAGUUGCUCAGCGGGGAAGCAGCAGAGCUGGGGUCCAGCCGAGGCCGCUCGGCAUCAAGGUUCCGACCUCUCCGUCCCACCCGUCGGUGAAGGGGACAGGUGCGCCUGCUCUGUGAGAGCUGCAAACUGUUCCUGCGCCCGUGGCAGUGCUGUCUUUGGAUGCAAAGUUCUUGCGGUGGAAUUUGCCAGCCUUUUAACGUGUGGUUUGCCCUUUCUGUGUCUUGCUUUCCUGCCCAGGGUUACAGAGAAAUCCUGAUAUUACCUUCUAAAAGCUCUCCAGCUGGAUUUGUCGUGGGUGCCUGUUUGAUUCUUCCCGAGGUGUUUUUGGCAGACAAUUGUGUGAGGCAGGGACUCCUCUGACGUCCUUUCUUUCCCCAAGAAAUCGAGUGGCCUACCCUUCUCUCCAGGGAUCUGCAGUGUCCUAUUGUCACCAAACAGACAACCCCACAGGCAGGAGAGGGUUUCCUUUAGACCGCGUGCCGACCACACACAAGCUUAACUCCUGGGACGCAGGCGGUAGGUUCGUCUGUUUUUCCUCUCUCUUUAUUCCGCCUCCUCUUCUGGUCUUCGCUGGCCUUCUUGUUAUCUGGGCCUUCCCCCUUCCACUGAGUGAUUAGAAUCAAUCUACCGGGAGCCGCUCCCGCCAAUUCAGCAACCCUGGGGCGGGGCGGUAGCAGGGGAAGCCUCGGAUCUGUAUCAGAAAUGUAGGUGACAAUUGAACGUGAACCUGUGUCCCCGAGAGUUAGAAUCUGAUGGCGGACAGGAGGAAUUCCUGAACUUGUCUUAUUUUAAAGGAGCAGAAGGGGAGCAGCUUGUAACCCUCCCAGCUCCUCGAAGCCCAACUGUUCCAUGGGAACUUGGCAUCAGCUCUUGGCCAGUGUGAGCCGGCUAAAGCUGGUUGCACCCACCAGGCCUAAAACCGGGCUUCCGCAGGUGUCUGACAAAUGGCCUUCUGAUGUGGGAGCGCCGGGACCCCGCACCCUCAGGUCACGCUCCUAUUUGAACAUGCAGAAGCGUGCACUACACGUGCACAGAUCACCGGCUACCCUCCUUGCCCCAGGCCCCCACCCUGCUCACCCCAUAAACAGCCCAAGCCCCUUGCCUUCAGGGAGGGGGGUCUGAGCCUGUUCUCCGUCUCACUUGGCUGCUUUGUGAAUAACCCCUUUGUCUGCUGCAGCCUUAGCCUCUCAGCAUUCAGCUCGCUGCCACGAGCAUCAGGCACAUGGACCUGGUUCAGGAACAGACUGGGGGUGGGGGGGCAGCCGGAAGGUCAGUUGCGACGAACUUUCUGCCCAUGGUGCGCUGGUCCCUUGCUGGAGCCUGUGGAUGAGUCCGAGCAGCUGUGGGGACGGCUCGUCCAGCCCUGCCGCGCUUUUCUGGCCACACGCCCCGCAGACCACGGGCCCUGGAGCAGGGUUUUGCUUUAUGGCUGAGAAACAGCUUCUGGGUCUGGAAGGCGUCUUUUGGGUGAGUAACCUCGUGACACACCAGCUGUGCCUACCCUGUCUGACAUCUUGUCCAGACGGUGGGCGACUCUGGUGAGAAUGUGGGUUGGAGGCCAGCCCGAGAGGGCAGAGACGGGUCACAGUUGCUGAGCUGCUCGGAACCGGGGUUCAAGCCCUAAGCUUCUGGUUGCUUGGCUCUGGCCUGGGGCAUCUCUGCCGGGGCCUCGUUUGCCCUGUCUGUCUCUGUCUGCUUGUCCUAUCCCUGAGGUCUCGGUGGCCAGAGCAAAACUCCUCUGGGAAUUGACCUCGUCAGAGUCUUCGGACUCCGAGGAAAGGGGCUCCGUUCCCUCCAGGCCUUUGAGACGUUUCCAGGUGAAUGGGGGUGCAGGGCGAUGUUGGGGCCUCUGCCAGUGAUGUGCCAUGGCCUCAAAGGGGUCCCCUUUUACCAAAACCCAUCCUUUCAGACUUCCGCUGCUCACCGCAAAGCAAUGGGCAGGGCUCCGUGUCUGGGGUGCGUCUGAACCUUCUUGACUGGACAG
ensembl:lncRNA